rnacentral:miRNA from 17 species
CAGCGCCUCUCCCUCCGCCCACUCGACCGCCACGUGGCAGCCGAGCGAGCGCCUCGGGGCAGCGU